GCCAGGCAUGGUGGUGCAUGCCUGCAGUCCCAGCUACUUGGGAGGCCGAGGCAGGAGCAUCACCUGAACCCGAGGAGGCUGAGGCUGCAGUGAGCCAUGAUCGUGCCACUGCAUUCCAGCUUGGGUGACAGAGUGAGACCCUGUCUUAA
rnacentral:sRNA from 1 species